rnacentral:lncRNA from 1 species
CAAAAGCAAAGCUCAAAGAGCUCAAGCCUGAGUUUAAAUGGGCUCCUGGGCCACGGCUGGAGGAUGGUGGAGGCUCCAGGUGAACCUCGUCAAGCUAUUUCUGUGAAGUCCCAUACUCAAUUCACAGCUGGCAGGGAACAAAAACGUGUUGCUUUUAGGACCGUAAGUAUGGAGGCUAAGCCACUGGGGAGAAAUGUGGUGCUUCAUCCUCCUGGCUCAAGUGCAGAACCUGCACAGUAUAGAGCAUAAUCAGAGCACUCUGUCUCUGCACCAUUUGGGAUUCAGACUUCAGGGAAGGUAGAGAUCAGUGACGAGAAGAGUGUGUUUGGAGGAGGAAGGCUGAUAACAGGCUUCAACAGAAGAGAAGAUUCCUAUCAAACACGGAGAAACCCUAUGGCAGGUUUACAAAUGGCAUUAGUGUUAAUUGUGCUUAAAAAGAGGUAAUUUAUACAAAUUCUUGUCUGUUAAUUCAACCACUUUUCCUGAAGUACCACCAUGUCACAGGAGAGUGCAUGGCGUGCUCAGGACAUUCCUGUUCCUCUCCAGUUAUGAGAAUGAACAUACAGAAAAUGAAUAAAGUAACUCAGAAACGUAAUAAGCGGGAGACUUUCGAGUACUUUUUCUUAAUAGCACAGUAUAUAAUCAAGUUCCAAUUUCAAAUGCUCUGGGGUUACAUCUCUGCCCUGAUCGCAUCUUCUGUGCUCUUCUCGCCUUUGUUUCCACACUCCUGCUCAGCACUGAGUGUAAUUACGAAUGCCAGUCACUUGGUUAAACAAAUGCUUUGUUUGGCAACCUUUGUUUUCCUACUGCUUAUGCAGCUGCAAAAUUGUGUGCACAGUGUGUUAAUUUUUUACCUCUGACCCCUAUG